CCCCUUUCAGGUGUGGGCCUGUUAUCCCCAUUCUGCUGAUGAAGACACCAAGCCAAGGGUCUCACUGCAUAGCCCAGGCUGGUCUCGAACUUCUCCAAUCCUCCUGCCUCAGCCUCUCAAGUGCUGGUAUUACAGCUAACAUCUUUUGAAUACCCUUUCUGUGUGCUGAACACUGUGAAGUGCUUGCUGUGUUCCACAGCGUGGAGUCCUUAGUGCUUGCGUGCACCUGCCACACCAAAGGGUGGGAACUUGUCAGCACAUUUUUCAGUUAAGGAAUAAGAGUCAGCAGGCUUUUGAGAUCCAAACCCACUCACUCCCGGCACCCCUUGAUGUUCCACUCUGGGAUUCACAAAGUCCAAUAUUCAACAUGUAUGUUUCAGGAUAUAUCCUGCC
rnacentral:lncRNA from 1 species